GACGAACGCUGGCGGCGUGCUUAACACAUGCAAGUCGUACGGUAAGGCCCUUUCUGGGGUACACGAGUGGCGAACGGGUGAGUAACACGUGAGUAACCUGCCCACAACUUUGGGAUAACGCUAGGAAACUGGUGCUAAUACUGGAUAUGUGCUCCUGCUGCAUGGUGGGGGUUGGAAAGCUCCGGCGGUUGUGGGUGGACUCGCGGCCUAUCAGCCUGUUUGUGGGGUAGUGGCCUACCAAGGGGGCGACGGGUAGCCGGCCGGGGAGGGUGACCGGCCACAUUGGGACUGGGGAACGGCCCAGACUCCUACGGGGGGGAGCAGGGGGGAAUAUUGCACAAUGGGCGCAAGCCGGAUGCAGCAACGCCGCGGGCGGGAAGACGGGCUUCGGGUUGUAAACCGCUUUCAGCAGGGACGAAGCUUUUUGUGACGGUACCUGCAGAAGAAGCACCGGCUAACUACGUG
rnacentral:rRNA from 1 species